GAUGAACGCUGGCGGAGUGCCUAACACAUGCAAGUCGAGCGGCAGCGCGAGUAGUUUACUACUUGGCGGCGAGCGGCGGACGGCUGAGUAACGCGUGGGAACAUGCCCCAAAGUGAGGAAUAACUGCCCGAAAGGGUAGCUAAUGCCGCAUACGAUCUUCGGAUUAAAGGAUUUAUCCGGCUUUGGAGUGGCCUGCGUACGAUUAGAUAGUUGGUGAGGUAAUGGCUCACCAAGUCUACGAUCGUUAACUGGUUUGAGAGGAUGAUCAGUCAGACUGGAACUGAGACACGGUCCAGACUCCUACGGGAGGCAGCAGUGAGGAAUCUUCCACAAUGGACGAAAGUCUGAUGGAGCAACUCCGCGUGCAGGAUGAAGGCCUUCGGUCGUAAACUGCUUUAUGAGUG
rnacentral:rRNA from 1 species